rnacentral:rRNA from 1 species
UACGGGGGGGGCAAGCGUUGUUCGGAAUUACUGGGCGUAAAGGGCUUGUAGGUGGCCAACUAAGUCAGACGUGAAAUCCCUCGGCUUAACCGGGGAACUGCGUCUGAUACUGGAUGGCUUGAAUUCGGGAGAGGGAUGCAGAAUUCCAGGUGUAGCGGUGAAAUGCGUAGAUAUCUGGAGGAAUACCGGUGGCGAAGGCGGCAUCCUGGACCGAGAUUGACACUGAUGAGCGAAAGCUAGGGGAGCAAACGGG